UGGCUGAACUGUGAGUGUAGGGACUCUUAUGUUGAUAAAUUUAGCUCUGGGACGUGACGUGGGCCUCUUUCCUCUCAGCUGUUGUUUUGGGAGCGCCGGCCGGCGUGUGAGCUGCUGCUAGCCGUGAUCAUUAUCCGGUAGAUUCUGUACCUUCAGCCACUUUUGGCGUGGAACCGCACUCUGCUGUGAACUGGCUUUCACUUCGCGCUGCCUAUACUGCACCGGUGUUGCCUCUCUUUGGUUGGUGUGUCGCCCCAUCAUCUGUGCCCUGUGGCAGGCCUGAUUUGUGGUGCUUACGCCGGCCUUGGAGUAGCCAAAGGGGUUGGCCCCUGUGUAUCUGACUGCAGUCAGUGGAUGUGUGUGGUCCAAAUUGCGAUUUGUUCCGAACCACGGAUUUAUGAUCGGGUUAGCGGUGCCUCUCUGACGCUGGGGAUUGCUAGCUACACUCCUCGGAGGUUGCUGUUUUGUUGCCAUCAAACUCUGCGCCAGUUCCGAACUGGCUCCACCUGCUCGUCCUGUUUUGGGCCCACGGUUUAUUUGUUUAGUUUUCCUGUGACCUCACUUUCAUUUGGUUUAAUUAUUUUUCAUUUGUGUUGGUUUGUUGUUUUCUGGCCCAUUUCUUGGGACAUCAGCCUCCUCGCGGCGCAUUGCGCAGGGCUGGUUACUACCUGUGUGUGUUGAGUGUGCGUGUGUGUGUUCGGUGUGUCUGUGUGCGUGUGUGAUUGUCAUCUAGGCACGGCACCGGAGACAAGUGUACACCCCCCUCCCGUCAACCUACGGCGGUGUAGUUCUCCCCUCUCUCUUGCUACACGAAAGUUAAGUUGCAUCUAGUCAUCACUGUGUAUGCAAAUUGUGUAAUACAUUAGCACGUGUCAUUCUCGCCAUUAAGUGUCUCUCUCUUCUCUCCUCCCUGGAUAGGUAUGGAGUUGCCAUAGCGCACCGGUCUUCGGGUGGUGGAUUCCCUCACUUUUCCAUUGCUGUGUGCACUUGGGUGACUAUUACUAUUUUGCUGUGCUUAGUAGCAGUAGUAGAUGUGUGUUUUCUUUUUAUUUUGUGUGAGUACUUUAUUGUGUGUGUUUAUUUUGUGUGGCCUUUUCCCUAGUCUUUAACUAUCCCUUUUCAACCGUGCUGCUAGUGGUUAGCCUAAGCCUAGCCCCUUUAAGAGUGACACCAUUGCCCCGUCUCCCCCCAUACUGGGGCGUUUCGUAUGAUUAAGUGUAGCCUCCCUCCUCUCUCGCACAGGUGCCGUGCUGGUGUACAUGUAGUGUGUGUAUGUGGCCACUGGCGGUUUUGUUCCACAUAACUGCUCGCCAGUGGGAUAAGAGGGAAUUUGUACAAUUCUGUCUCUAACAGUCCUCUGUGGUUUCCCCUUUUGCACCACCACUGCAUAUUUGCACAGUUGUGUUCACCGGAUUAUGUACCAGUUAACUAUUGUAUUUGUAAUGUGUAUGGACUGAAGAACUCUAUGGAUUAUGGACUAUUGUAUGUUUGUGUGAAUCCAUGAUUGUUCUUGAUUUCGGCCUGAUCAGCCAAAUCCCCAUUUUGUUCAUUGCCGUACAUUUUUAUGCAUUGUGAAAAGAAAAUAAAACACUGACUUGACCCUUG